AACUACGUCAUUUUGGCGCAUGCGCAGAUUCUGGUUGGCAGAAAGCAUUGCUUCUAAGCCGUGUUUAUGCGGUGGCAGAGCCAUAACAUAAACGUAAUGAGCCAUAAACAGGAAUAUAUACCAGUGCCACGAUGAAAAACUUCAAAUCGUUUCAAGCUUAUCAUGUAGAUCAGUGGACAUAUGUACCACGUCAUCAGGAGUCUAUCAAUAGUCUACAUGAGUCUAUCUAUGGUCUAUUGAUAGACUCCUGACGUCAUCACAGAAAAGGUGAAAUUACGCCAUCUCAACGAUUGCGAGACAAACCUCACCAACACUGGUGUACAUGACAUGUGUGUAUAGUCAACUGGGGUUGUGUAUUGUGCCCGCUGCAUGUGCAUGGCAGUACUUGGCAAAACAUGCAGCCACGUAGCAGCCCUGCUAUUCAAAGUCGACGUCAUCAACUAGUUGGGCAUGUGAAUGGAAUAAAUUAUUUCGCAAAGAAUUACAGCCAGUUACCAUCCCAGAUUCACAGGACACUUUAAAAGGUGCCAGAAA